AUGUGCUGGAAUUCGUUGUGCAACACUCAACUCGUCCGACGAAGCAACAAGCCGCGAUCUCCUUUCCUCGUCACUCCAGGAUGCCUCUGCCGUAACCCACAUCAUAGAUCCGCCAUAAGUCGCCGAAAACCGAUGAAGGCCAGUCGUGAAGGAGCUCUUUCGAACUCUCGCCUCCAUGACCAUAGAUAUGACAUCACCCGCUGA